AGUGAACGCUGGCGGUAGGCCUAACACAUGCAAGUCGAACGGCAGCACAGUAAGAGCUUGCUCUUACGGGUGGCGAGUGGCGGAAGGGUGAGGUAUACAUCGGAAUCUACUUUUUCGUGGGGGAUAACGUAGGGAAACUUACGCUAAUACCGCAUACGACCUACGGGUGAAAGCAGGGGAUCUUCGGACCUUGCGCGAUUGAAUGAGCCGAUGUCGGAUUAGCUAGUUGGCGGGGUAAAGGCCCACCAAGGCGACGAUCCGUAGCUGGUCUGAGAGGAUGAUCAGCCACACUGGAACUGAGACACGGCCCAGACUCCGACAGGGGGCAGCAGUGGGGAAUAUUGGACGAUGGGCGCGAGCCUGAUCCAGCCAUACCGCGUGGGUGAAGAAGGCCUUCGGGUUGGAGAGCCCUGUUGUUGGGAAAGAAAAGCAGCAGGUUAAUACCCCGCUGUUCUGACGGUACCCAAAGAAUAAGCACCGGCUAACUUCGUG
rnacentral:rRNA from 1 species